AGAAUCAACGCUGGCGGCGUGCCUAACACAUGCAAGUCGCACGAGAAAGGGGAGCAAUCCAUGAGUAAAGUGGCGCACGGGUGAGUAACACGUGACUAACCUACCCUUGAGUGGGGGAUAACCUAGAGAAAUCUGGGCUAAUACCGCAUAAUACCUUCGGGUCAAAGGAGCAAUUCGCUUAAGGAGGGGGUCGCGGCCGAUUAGUUAGUUGGCGGGGUAAUGGCCCACCAAGACUGUGAUCGGUA
rnacentral:rRNA from 1 species